GAUAUAAAUGGUGUGGAUGAUGGUGGUGGUGGUAGUGAUGUAUGGGAAACCUCCCAUGGGUUUGUAAGAUGCAGCUAGUAGCAAUGAAAAGGUCUGGUGGGGCAGGCAUCCCUGCAAGGCUUGUGGGAGAUUUUUGAAGGGGUGAGAAAGCUUCAUAAGGAGAUGGGAAGGGUGGUUGCUGCUGUGGUUUUCUUUGAGAGGGAAGAUUCCCAAUCAAUCUAAUUUGAAAUGUUUCUGAGUUUCAGUUUGAUGGUAGCAUUUAUAAGUUUUGAUCAGGUAGCAAGUUACUGAAAUUGAUUUGCUCAUCCAUCUCUCUAAUCAAAUUAAGCUUAGUAAAAGAAAGUUUCUAUUGGCCUAAGAUGUGCAGAGACGUCUCCAAGCAUGUGGAGAGGUGCACAAAAUACUAGUCUGCAUACACUCAGAUUUCAAGGAGUGAAGAACUUCUCAUUGUGCAGGUUGGCCAGUUUGCAAAUUGCUUGAUUGAGGCUAGAAAUGAAUUGCAGCAUAAGUAUGUGCCUAUCAUCUCGUUCAAUGUGCUGACUUGCUCAUGGGUUGCAUUUUUUUUCUCUUUUCUUUUUUACCAAUUUCAAGUACUUUUUGUUUUUGUGCAAAUCUGAGAUCAUUCAACGUAAGUUUACAAUAACAAAGGCACUGCUAUUCAAGGCUGACAAGUCAUCGUUCGACUGCCUUUGUCAACAGAUAUACAAGCUAGAAGCAGAACAGAAGAGACUAGAGGAGGAUGCAACCGUAUACAAUCGACUGCAGGAGCAGCUGAAGCUCUCACCGGCAUAUAAGAAGGUACUAUAUGGUCCUCAACCAAGUACAUGGAUGGUAUCCUCCAGUUUGCAGUUUGUGUCAACGGAACUGUGCUUCAGCGAUCCAGACCAUUGAUACCAUGGGCCCCCACUUUUGAAGGGCAUAUCUCGAAAACCAUUCAGAUUAGAAGACCCUUCCCAACCCAGUUGGAUGAUGAGGUUGUAUGAUGAACAUAUGGGAAUAUGAUUAAAUGAAAUGAUCGAUGUUUGGCU